rnacentral:rRNA from 1 species
AAAACAUCAUUUUAAGAGAUUAUUUAAAAUAAAUCCUGCUCAAUGUUAAAUCAAUAGCCGCAGAAAUUUUACUGUGCUAAGGUAGCAUAAUCACUUGCCUUUUAAUUAAAGGAUCGCAUGAAUGGACCAACAAUAUUAAACUGUUUCUUAUAUACAUAACUAAAUUAUACUAAGAGUAAAAAUACUCUUUAGCUACAGAAAGACGACAAGACCCUAUCGAACUUUACACACGUUAAGCUGGGGCGGCAACUUAAAAAAAUCUUACACCCUCUCCAAUAAACAUCCAAUUAAAAUGCCUUCAACAAGUUACCGUAGGGAUAACAGCAUAAUUUACUUUUUAAGCUCUUAUUUUAAAGUAAGAUUGUGACCUCGAUGUUGAAUUAAUAGCUCUCCUACUGACGCAAAAGUCUAGAAAGAAAG